GACGACCUUUGGCGGCGUGCUUAACACAUGCAAGUCGAACGGAAAGGCCCUGCUUUUGUGGGGUGCUCGAGUGGCGAACGGGUGAGUAACACGUGAGUAACCUGCCCUUGACUUUGGGAUAACUUCAGGAAACUGGGGCUAAUACCGGAUAGGAGCUCCUGCUGCAUGGUGGGGGUUGGAAAGUUUCGGCGGUUGGGGAUGGACUCGCGGCUUAUCAGCUUGUUGGUGGGGUAGUGGCUUACCAAGGCUUUGACGGGUAGCCGGCCUGAGAGGGUGACCGGCCACAUUGGGACUGAGAUACGGCCCAGACUCCUACGGGAGGCAGCAGUGGGGAAUAUUGCACAAUGGGCGGAAGCCUGAUGCAGCAACGCCGCGUGCGGGAUGACGGCCUUCGGGUUGUAAACCGCUUUCGCCUGUGACGAAGCGUGAGUGACGGUAAUGGGUAAAGAAGCACCGGCUAACUACGUGCCAGCAGCCGCGGUGAUACGUAGGGUGCGAGCGUUGUCCGGAUUUAUUGGGCGUGAAGGGCUCGUAGGUGGUUGAUCGCGUCGGAAGUGUAAUCUUGGGGCUUAACCCUGAGCGUGCUUUCGAUACGGGUUGACUUGAGGAAGGUAGGGGAGAAUGGAAUUCCUGGUGGAGCGGUGGAAUGCGCAGAUAUCAGGAGGAACACCAGUGGCGAAGGCGGUUCUCUGGGCCUUUCCUGACGCUGAGGAGCGAAAGCGUGGGGAGCGAACAGGCUUAGAUACCCUGGUAGUCCACGCUGUAAACGGUGGGUACUAGGUGUGGGGUCCAUUCCACGGGUUCCGUGCCGUAGCUAACGCUUUAAGUACCCCGCCUGGGGAGUACGGCCGCAAGGCUAAAACUCAAAGGAAUUGACGGGGCCCCGCACAAGCGGCGGAGCAUGCGGAUUAAUUCGAUGCAACGCGUAGAACCUUACCUGGGUUUGACAUGGAUCGGGAGUGCUCAGAGAUGGGUGUGCCUCUUUUGGGGUCGGUUCACAGGUGGUGCAUGGCUGUCGUCAGCUCGUGUCGUGAGAUGUUGGGUUAAGUCCCGCAACGAGCGCAACCCUUGUUCACUGUUGCCAGCACGUUAUGGUGGGGACUCAGUGGAGACCGCCGGGGUCAACUCGGAGGAAGGUGGGGAUGACGUCAAGUCAUCAUGCCCCUUAUGUCCAGGGCUUCACGCAUGCUACAAUGGCUGGUACAGAGAGUGGCGAGCCUGUGAGGGUGAGCGAAUCUCGGAAAGCCGGUCUCAGUUCGGAUUGGGGUCUGCAACUCGACCUCAUGAAGUCGGAGUCGCUAGUAAUCGCAGAUCAGCAACGCUGCGGUGAAUACGUUCCCGGGGCU
rnacentral:rRNA from 1 species